rnacentral:rRNA from 1 species
GACGAACGCUGGCGGCGUGCCUAAUACAUGCAAGUAGAACGCACAGUUUAUACCGUAGCUUGCUACACCAUAGACUGUGAGUUGCGAACGGGUGAGUAACGCGUAGGUAACCUGCCUGGUAGCGGGGGAUAACUAUUGGAAACGAUAGCUAAUACCGCAUAAUAUUAAUUAUUGCAUGAUAAUUAAUUGAAAGGUGCAAUUGCACCACUACCAGAUGGACCUGCGUUGUAUUAGCUAGUAGGUGAGGUAACGGCUCACCUAGGCGACGAUACAUAGCCGACCUGAGAGGGUGAUCGGCCACACUGGGACUGAGACACGGCCCAGACUCCAACGGGAGGCAGCAGUAGGGAAUCUUCGGCAAUGGACGAAAGUCUGACCGAGCAACGCCGCGUGAGUGAAGAAGGUUUUCGGAUCGUAAAGCUCUGUUGUAAGAGAAGAACGGGUGUGAGAGUGGGAAGUUCACACUGUGACGGUAUCUUACCAGAAAGGGACGGCUAACUACGUG